GAUGAGAGAGAGAGAGGCAGCAGAUGGAUUGUUAACAGAGGAUGGGAGGGAGAACAAAAGACCUCAACUUUCAGCCAAGAGGCAAGCAUUCGAAGAGGAGGGAUGAAGGCAGGCUGGGGAGGAGAAGACUGGUUGUCCACACUGAUCCCAAGGUUGUCCCGGAUCUCUUGUGCCAGAGCUCAUAGAGAUAGGAGAAGACCUUGGCAUGGAUUUUUGGGCAGCGGAUGCUGUUGACAUCGCCCAGGAUACCCAGUAUCCUCCUCCAAAGGACG